CACCCAGUAUUUGUUAAUAAUUGAAAACGUUAAAAUCAAAACAUGCCUUAUUCAUGUGAUGUUUCGGCGUCUCCCAUUAUGGAUCCCGCCAAAAUAUUCAAUAGUAUAACAUCAUAUAGCUUUCUUCGCUAUCUCCCCACCGAAGAGGCAGCAGAGAAAUUUUUCCAUCUCGUGGGGCUCGUGCUACAUCCGGACCUAACCGGUUUUUUCCGCCAUGUCCUAAGUGCGGAGUGUGUUUCCUCUCUGAUUACAUCUAUGGUGAGAAUUUGACCAGCGUUUUACAAAAGAAGGGACGUUUAGAAGAGACUGAAGCUAAAAUGAUUGGUGCCCAAGUGGCUUCAGCAUUAAUUUACAUACACGAGAAAGGAAUCAUAAUCAUUCACAAGGCGUUGGCUCUAACAACAUCACAUCUCAGAUUCUUUAAAUACUAUGACACACACCUUAUGUGUCUGAGAACCAAUGUUUAUUGUUUUACAAACGUUUUCAACCUGCUCUACCGACCAUCGUCAGGUUUUCUGAAUUUUCUGGAACGUUUUUUGUAUUGGUUCC